rnacentral:rRNA from 1 species
UACGUAGGGGGCAAGCGUUGUCCGGAAUCAUUGGGCGUAAAGAGCGUGUAGGCGGCCCGAUAAGUCCGCCGUGAAAGUCCAGGGCUCAACCCUGGAAUGCCGGUGGAAACUGUCGGGCUGGAGUCCGGAAGAGGCGAGUGGAAUUCCUGGUGUAGCGGUGAAAUGCGCAGAUAUCAGGAGGAACACCGGUGGCGAAGGCGGCGUCCUGGACCAACACUGACACUGAGGAGCGAAAGCCAGGGGAGCAAACGGG